AACGAACGCUGGCGGCAUGCCUAACACAUGCAAGUCGAACGAGACCUCCGGGUCUAGUGGCGCACGGGUGCGUAACGCGGGGGAACCUGCCCGUAGGUUCGGAAUAACUCCCCGACAGGGGUGCUAAUACCGGGUAAUGUAUUCGGACAAAAGAUUUAUCGCGCUUGGAUGGGCCCGCGUUGGUUUAGCUUGUUGGGAGGGUAAAAGCCUACCACGGCGACGAUCCAUAGCUGGUCUGAGAGGCUGGUCAGCCACUCUGAGACUGGGACGCGGCCCAGACUCCUACGGGAGGCAGCAGUGGGGAAUCUUGGACAAUGGGCGGAAGCCUGAUCCAGCAAUGCCGCGUGAGUGAUUAAGUCCUUAGGGUUGUAAAGCUCUUUUACCCGGGAUGAUAAUGACAGUACCGGGAGAAUAAGCUCCGGCUAACUCCGUG
rnacentral:rRNA from 1 species